rnacentral:rRNA from 1 species
UACAGAGGUCUCAAGCGUUGUUCGGAUUCAUUGGGCGUAAAGGGUGCGUAGGUGGCGCCGUAAGUCAGGUGUGAAAUUUCGGAGCUUAACUCCGAAACUGCAUUUGAUACUGCGGUGCUUGAGGACUGGAGAGGAGACUGGAAUUUACGGUGUAGCAGUGAAAUGCGUAGAGAUCGUAAGGAAGACCAGUGGCGAAGGCGGGUC